rnacentral:lncRNA from 1 species
AUGGCAACUGAGCAGCCCCAGAAAGUGGAAAUUGAGACGCCGGCUGUACCUGCUCCGGCGCCCGAGAAAGUUGUUUCACUUCCUCCAGCUGAGGAGGAGAAGCCUGUGCUUCCUCCUGCUGAUGAUGCCAAAGCUCUCGCUGUUGUUGAAAGUAAUCUCUCCCUCUCUCUCCCCCCCCCCUCUCCCUCUCCUCUCCCUCUCUCUCUCUCUCUCUCUCUCUCUCUCUCUCACACACACACACACACACACGCGCACACACACAGGUGUUUGUUAAAAGAAUCAAGAUUUGGAUAAAAUUAAGUAUAAACGAGAGCGACCUUUUGUGUUUGCCGUUAUGCCUAUAAAUAUCUUAGAAUUCUGUGGUUUUCUUGGGUCUUAAAAGUAUAUUGUAUAUUAUAUAAUUGAUUCAAGUAGUAGCUAUCCUGAUUUUAGUACUUGCCCUUAUUUUUAUAUCAAGAAUCUUAUUUUCACACUUUUACUUGCAGGAUGCUGUGAAUUUAUGUUUCUAGUUAGAAUUUUGGAGAUUCUACUAGGGUUUGGCCUUUCUUCUUUGGCUACUAAAUAUUUUUUAAAAUAUAAUGUUUGAUUAAAGUCUAUAUAUCUAUAUUAUGAGCAAGAAUGUUGCUUCUGUUCUGCUUUUAGAUUUCAGUUUCAGUGCUAGUUAAUUAGAGAAUCUUGCUUCCUAAUUUCAAUGAUACCUUUCUCAGUUAUAAUUUGCUUGUUAGUUUCCUUUAUGCAAAUUGAAGCUAACAAUCGCCAAGCAUGAAGUACAACGAAGUGUAUGACUCUAUGUUUCUCAACAUCGCAUGUGGAAUUUGAUUCAUGAUUAUUGCACAUCACAAGCAAAACAUGGUUCACAAGUUGACCAAGACUGUAUUGUAGCUUUUGCAAUUGCUUGUAUAUAUGUAUUCUACCCUUUCGAUUCAUUUUGGGGUGUUCUGCGUCACAGCAAACCAUUUCUGAGCUGAGUUGUUGUUCUCUACAGCUUUAGUUGUGUUGAUGUUUUAAAUACAUAGAACUCAUAUGAUAGGUUAAUAGAAGCACUUGAUUUGUUCUCAUUCAGAAGUAGCAAUUAAAUUCUAGUUAAUUGUUGUGUACUUGUGCUACAUGUGUUUGAUAUUGUGCUUAGUAAAAUCUAAUGGUCAUGUUCAUCAUCUCUGCCAGAGAUUCCAGAUUCUGCUGAAAAGAAAGCUCCCGUAGAACCUCAUGAUCGAGGUGGGUGUCUUACUAAUAAAUUUUUACUCUUUCCUGGACUAAAUGACUUGAUGACAUGCAGUAGAAUGAACAAUUUAAUAAUCAAUUGCUAGUAUUUUUACUGAUGCUGACCAUCACUUUAUUACUACUUUUUUACUUCAGAUGUUGCUCUUGCGGAUCUCGAAAAAGAGAAGAGGUUGUCCUUUAUCAAGGCCUGGGAGGAGAGUGAAAAAUCUAAAGUUGAGAAUAAGUAAGGAUAUUUCCAGCCCAUCUUGUUGAUCUCUAAAUGUUUUUAAAAGAAAGUUAGCUUGAGUAUACUGCAGGAACUUGUGUCUUAUUUAGGCUUUUAGCUAAUGAAGAUAUGAAAACUUAGCCAUGUAAAUACUCUUUUUUGUUCUGUGAUUUUUUUGCUUGAUGUUAAAUGCUUCCUUAAAAUUUGCUAAUAUAAGCUCGUUGAACAGGACACAAAAGCAACUCGCUGCAGUCAAUUCAUGGGAGAACACCCAGAAAGCCAAAAUUGAAGCUAAAAUCAAAAAGAUAGAGGUAAGUGAGACGCGUGAUCUACCUUGCCGUUCUUUAAUAUUAAUAUAUCAGAGACAUACUAUGAUAUUUACUGCUAUUAACGUAAUUCAAUAUGCAACUACAUUCUUCUUAUGAGGUAUGCAAUAUUUGUUCAAACUAAGCUAAUUUGAAAAUGACAAGAUAGUUUUCAUGCAUUAGUGUCCUGCAAGCUUUAGCUACAGAAUUCUAGCAAGACUUGAACCCUGGGCAUUGAGACCAUUAUAUUGGUCACCCCUGGAUCAUUGGGAACUUUUGUCUCAUUUGCACCUCAACCAAAAGAGUUUUUAUAUGAAAUGAUAAUUUAAAAGUGCCUCUUUUAGCUUCCAUGUCUUUCCUGUCACCUCUACAAUGUUCUUGUGCUAAUUUUUCAUGAAAAACAAGAAAGUUUGAAGCUCACCGGUUAAAAAUAUUAUUAUAUUAUUAUAUUUGUGACACAGCAUAUGUACCACUAAAAUUUUAUGAAUAGUAUAUUUGUGUUCAUCCGUGAAGCUGAUAUAUUUAGAUAUGAGCAGGAAGACCUUGAGAAGAAGAAAGCAGCCUAUGCAGAACAAAUGAAAAACAAGACAGCUAUGGUUCACAAGGCAGCAGAAGAAAAGCGAGCCAUGGUUGAAGCCAAACGAGGAGAAGAUUUAUUAAAAGCAGAGGAG